AUUGAACGCUGGCGGCAGGCCUAACACAUGCAAGUCGAACGAGUGGCGGACGGGUGAGUAAUGUCUGGGAAACUGCCUGAUGGAGGGGGAUAACUACUGGAAACGGUAGCUAAUACCGCAUACCAUCAGAUGUGCCCAGAUGGGAUUAGCUAGUUGGUGGGGUAACGGCUCACCAGGGCGACGCUCCCUAGCUGGGCUGAGAGGAUGACAGGGCACACGGGAACUGAGACACGGACCGGAGUCCUACGGGAGGCAGCAGUGGGGAAUAGUGCACAAUGGGCGAAAGCCUGAUGCAGCCAUGCCGCGUGUAUGAAGAAGGCCUGCGGGUUGUAAAGUACUUUCAGCGGGGAGGCGUUACCCGCAGAAGAAGCACCGGCUAACUCCGUGCCAGCAGCCGCGGUAAUUC
rnacentral:rRNA from 1 species